UCCUCCACAGCUCUCGCCAACAAGUAUAACCUUUUUUCCUUUGGGGAUUGAAGCCAUAUACGUCAACAAGGGUUCAGAGUAGUCAUCAAACGAGCCAAUCUGCUCAAUUUGUCUUUGGUCAAUACCACUGGCUGCGAGGUCCAGUGUUGUUACAUUGUGGCCAGCAGCCUCCAGCAAUGGUACGAGUUUGUACCAAACCCAAGCACCAUGGCAUAUGGUAUGAAUGAGAACAAAAUGCGCGAGUGCCAUUUUCUAAUCAGCUAUUCUGUAUGGUGCAGCCUGCGUUG
rnacentral:misc_RNA from 1 species